AUUAUUGUCAGUGACAUGGCACACAACCAUUGGUUGAUGCAAUGUGGCGUGUCAAUUGUAGGCGGCCUCGUACAAAUUCAGUGGGCUGGGCUGCAGAGGAAGUCAGCAUUUCUUCCGAAUCUCUCUCCCCACUCAGCUAUGCAGGUGUGUAAGGGGUGAAGUUCUCAAUGGGAGCAGAGACUAUCGCACAGUGCCAGUAGAGAGACACCGAUGAAGUGUCAGUCAUGCUGGUGGCUGGCAGCGACGGCAGAGCAGAGCGUGACAUGCCAGUGUUUUUUCCUGAGGGGAUGUGUGUUUUCUUGGUCUUGGAUCCACGGAGUGAUAGCAGAAUGUUCCAUUUAUUCUAUGGUUCUUUCCUUCCCUUCUUAUUUCUGCCACCAUGGCAUGAUCCAGAGCAGGGCGGUGUAACUGGGUGAUUCAACAUCACUGUUAUAGUGAUAGGAAGAGACACGGAGGAUUUUGCAACAAGUGCAAGUAGGAAAACCGUAAAGGUUAUUUUCCCCUUCAUAAUCAACGCAGUUCUCUCUGGCAGUGUUCAAGCCUUAGCAGCAGUCAAUCUGAGUGUUUCUGACUUCUGGCUGAUUUGUUCUUCUUCUUCUGAUGAUGACAGUUGGCAGCUCUCUUCUGGUUUCUUCGGACAGCUCAGUGUCAGUGAGUAGAGAGGCAGUGCUGGUUUUAUAGUGACUUGUAUUUCCAUUCACUUACAAAAGUGAGACAUACAUUUCUCCUGUAGAUUAGUAGUAUGCUUCGUACGGGUAGGAUAACUUACUGUGUAUUUUCUAUCCAAUACAGCUUGGUUUUAUAGUGACUUGUAUUUCCAUUCACUUACAAAAUGAGACACAAUUCUCCAGUAGAUUAGUAGUACGCUUCGUCCGGGUAGGAUAACUUACUGUCUACUAUUUUCUAUCCAAUACAGCUUGGUUUUUAUAUGACUGACUUGACUUGCCAUUUCGGGAUCCUAAUUUAUUCGGAUAACCUUCCUAAUAAGUGUUAUUGUAGAUAUUGAGAGAUGCCUGUAGUCUACUAGAGCACUGUCGAGUCGGGAGUCUUGUCAGACCGAGACACUGAGAAUGCAGAGCACAGUUCGUUUUCUAACAGAACAAAGACUGAAUAUACCAAAGCCACUGCAUCACAGAGAAUUGUGCCAAACCAGCCCUGAUAACAGCGUUGAUCACCUCUCCCACGAACAUAACCUUUUAUAAGGACUUUUUGCAUUAUGCACGGAUCAAACAAUGAAGUGAAAUACUCGUCCGCCGAGCCAAAACGAGCUUCACCCGAGACAGUAAAGCUGCUCCGCUGCUUCACUGGUGUCAUAACGCAGCCAUGUUCCUGCCUCUGACUACCAUCGUCCUCACAGAGCCCAGCCUCUCUUCUCCG
rnacentral:lncRNA from 1 species